rnacentral:rRNA from 1 species
GAUGAACGCUGGCGGCGUGCCUAACACAUGCAAGUCGAACGAAGCACCUUUUGAGAUUCUUCGGAUGAUUGAUUGGUGACUGAGUGGCGGACGGGUGAGUAACGCGUGGGUAACCUGCCCUGUACAGGGGGAUAACAGCUGGAAACGGCUGCUAAUACCGCAUAAGCGAACAAGGAGACAUCUCCUUGGGGGAAAAACUCCGGUGGUACAGGAUGGGCCCGCGACUGAUUAGCUGGUUGGCAGGGUAACGGCCGACCAAGGCAACGAUCAGUAGCCGGUCUGAGAGGAUGAACGGCCACAUUGGAACUGAGACACGGUCCAAACUCCUACGGGAGGCAGCAGUGGGGAAUAUUGCACAAUGGGGGAAACCCUGAUGCAGCAACGCCGCGUGAGUGAAGAAGUAUUUCGGUAUGUAAAGCUCUAUCAGCAGGGAAGAUAAUGACGGUACCUGACUAAGAAGCUCCGGCUAAAUACGUGCCAGCCGCCGCAGUAA